GGGCAACCAGACAGCAGGCGACUAUAGUGGUCGUGAUUAUGGCACUGUGGCCAACCAUACACUCGACACCGGCAACCAGACGGCAGGCGACGACAGUGGUGGGGAUUAUGGCACUGUGGGCAACCAUACAGUGGACACCAGCCACAGUGAGGUGGGCAACCAUACAGGUGACAUUGAUGUGCAAAGUGAUUUUGAAGCACUUGCACAGGAGAUUGUUAAACAAGACCCAGAUGCUGCAUUCAUUGUGCAAAGAGACUCUUCAGACCUGGAUCUCCUUCUAGAUUCUCUGAACUCGGAUGUAGGUUCCACAGGUUCUACUUAGCACACUUUGUGCAGUAGGAUUUGGGAAACAUGCAAGAGUUUGUCGCAUCAUUACCCUUUUCUCCCUUAGUUGGUCUCAUCUGAAGUUUUCAGUCAACUCUUGAAUGUGAUCAGUUCAAGGCUGAGGUUUAGGUGAAGGAUGUGUCUGCAUGUGGCCUGUUCAGCUGUCUCUGCUUUGAAUAAAAGUCCUAAAUAUAAA